rnacentral:rRNA from 1 species
CGACGUAGGGGGCAAGCGUUGUCCGGAUUUAUUGGGCGUAAAGAGCUCGUAGGCGGUUUGUCGCGUCUGCCGUGAAAGUCCGGGGCUCAACUCCGGAUCUGCGGUGGGUACGGGCAGACUAGAGUGAUGUAGGGGAGACUGGAAUUCCUGGUGUAGCGGUGAAAUGCGCAGAUAUCAGGAGGAACACCGAUGGCGAAGGCAGGUCUCUGGGCAUUAACUGACGCUGAGGAGCGAAAGCAUGGGGAGCGAACAGG